rnacentral:rRNA from 1 species
GAGUUUGAUCGUGGCUCAGAUUGAACGCUGGCGGCAGGCCUAACACAUGCAAGUCGGGCGGUAGAGAGAAGCUUGCUUCUCUUGAGAGCGGCGGACGGGUGAGUAAUGCCUAGGAAUCUGCCUGGUAGUGGGGGAUAACGCUCGGAGACGGACGCUAAUACCGCAUACGUCCUACGGGAGAAAGCAGGGGACCUUCGGGCCUUGCGCUAUCAGAUGAGCCUAGGUCGGAUUAGCUAGUUGGUGAGGUAAUGGCUCACCAAGGCGACGAUCCGUAACUGGUCUGAGAGGAUGAUCAGUCACACUGGAACUGAGACACGGUCCAGACUCUACGGGAGGCAGCAGUGGGGAAUAUUGGACAAUGGGCGAAAGCCUGAUCCAGCCAUGCCGCGUGUGUGAAGAAGGUCUUCGGAUUGUAAAGCACUUUAAGUUGGGAGAAGGGCAGUAAAUUAAUACUUUGCUGUUUGACGUUACCGACAGAAUAAGCACCGGCUAACUCUGUGCCAGCCGCCG